AUUUCCUUUAUAGUUUAUUGUAAUACAAGAAAAACAAAUCUAGAAAGCACAUUUCAUGGAGCACCAUAUUGUAACAAAAUUUUGCUGGCUCUCCUGCAAAGUGUAUUUUUGACAUUUAAACAAUGACACACACAUAGUCAGUACACACAGGCAUCUACAUCCCAGUGAUCUUACUAGGAGCCCCAAAGAGACCCUUCUUUCAAAUACAGAAACACUAAGGUGCACAGAGGAAUGCCAAUGUGAGGGCAUCUGAACGCCAACUGAGUUAAUUACUCUUUUGUUAGCGAUCUUCAUAAGCACACAAGCAUUCAUUGUCUCACCCCAGUCUCUCUUCUCUAAAGCCUUCAAAUUGGGCCCAAAGGUCACUGAAUAUGGAUCCAGCAUAGACUGGUGUAGAGUUGAACAAAACUGGCCAAUAUUCCCUACCUGAUAACUCUUAUUGCUUUGGUUAUAGUACUGAAUGAAAGUCUUUAAAACUCUUAAACCUACACUCCACAUCACAGAAAAGCCACUUUCACACAUACAGAAACCUACACUCCAUAUCACAGAAAAGCCACUUUCCCCACACACACCUGAACGCAUAGAACUGAUAGCUUUUUGAGAAGCUUUGUGGGCUUCCCCACCAAGAUCACCUUCAUAAAAAUGAUUGCUUUUCUUUUUAAAAAGUGUUCAGACAGUUGUUCAACAAUAUAUUUUAUAAUAUAUUUCUUUCUUUUUAAUAGACAGGGAAUGUUUUCCUGCUGGCUUAAAUCUAUGUCAUUGUCUACACAAGCAAGAGCAAAAUGUUAUCGUUUUCAUGUGUACAAAAUGUUUUACAUUCAUUUUAUACAGUGCUAAAUAAUGAUGCUAAGCACAGAACAGUGUAGAAUGAUAGCACACAAUAGCUUUUUACCUUGCUCAAAAUGCAAAAGUACUGGAAGUUUCCCAUACUAAUGCUGAGACACAGUAUUAGGGUUUCUAUUACAGUGUCCUUCCAGACUACUUUCAGACAGCUAUUUUGUGAGCGAUUGCUCAAUAUGUAUGUCAGACUGAAGCACCUCGAGUAAUAUGGUUUUAGUGUCCUGAAAAGUGAGAAUAACAGACAAAAGCAAAUCCAGCCUCACAGCAGACUAGGACAAGAGUUAAGUACAAUGCUAGCAAGAUAGCAAAAUUUCUGCCUGGACUCAAACCAACCCACAGUUACAAUAAUUUGGGGUAUAUGGCAAUUUCUAUCAUUAACUGAGGACAAUGCAUGAAGUUUAAUUUAAAACCUUUUCUAUAAAAUAUUUUGAUUUUGUCAACCAAACAAAAAAAUGAAGGGCUUUUAUUUCUAUCAGCCAGUUACAAAAGAUAUUUCAUCAAAGCACAUCUCUUUGAAAUACUUUUCCUACUUUUGACCUUAAAUUUUCUGGAGAAAUUUAAGGAUUUGCAGAAUAUAUUUCUGCUUGACAAUCAGUUAGAACGAGCUAUCUUUAAGUUUUGGGCAGCGUAAGGCAUUCAUAUUGCCAAGAAAGAAAUGAAGUUAUUGUGUAUUUUUUCUUGUGGAAAACCACUGUGGAUUUCCCAUUUACAGGAGCAAAUUUCAUAAUUCCUUUAUCCUGUGUGAGGAACAAACAUCUAUGAAAAACAUGAAAAAAUAAUGGAAAUUCAAAAAGAGAAAAUGUACUUGAAAAAUACUUUAGAUAUGCAAAGGGAUAUUAACCAACUGAAUUACUAACUCAGACUCUCUCCUCUGAGCUAAAGGUAUGUUUCAAUAGCUGUGCUAAACAUUUGGCUAGCAUUUCCCAGGCAAACAGUUCAAACUUCAACUGUGUGAUGGGGAAAAAAAAGAAAAAAAAAAAGACUAACUAGUUUAAGUUACAAAAACUAUGGAGUUGUUAUGGAUUGCUAUGUAUUAAUAAGGUUUCAGGUGACUGAAGAAUAGGAUAUAAUAAGGAAAAUAUAUUGUGCUGGGUGUAUCAAUACAUAUUUUCACUUGGAGUAGCAUCUCCUGAGUAAAAGGACAGUGUAAUAAAAGCAGAAGGGAUUCAGAGACAGGCAAAGAGUAUGGACCUCUAUAAGAAUGUGAAUUAUUGUUUGGCUUAAGAAGCAAACAAGAAGUAUGUAGUUUUUGAUAUAGAGUAUAUAAUCGCUGAGAUACAGAAUUAAAAUUGGGAUCACUCCUGUUUAUACUGGUUUAGCAUAAAAGAGCAAGAGAUGAGAACGACAUUGAAAAGCACUCAAUUUGAAUCUGAAAAAAGAAUCUGCUUUUAUUUGUUUUUCUUUGUUCUUAAACAUAAUGGGUUUUUCUUUUAGCAUUCUCCACCUCAAGAACUAUUUAGAUCUCAAAACUUAGGAUCAGCUUCUCACAGGGAUGAUGAGACAUCCACAAUGACGUUAGACAAGACAAAAAUAUAAGGGCUGAAGCUAAUGAAAAAUCCAGAUGAAAUUAUUGCACCUUCCCCUGAAGCAUCUGAUACAGUCAGAGGUAGGACACUGGAUUAAAUAAACCAUGUAGUUUAACUAUGUUACUGUUUCUAUGAUAUUAGGUUUAAAAAUUUCAGCUGUACAGUCCAGUUACUCAUGCAAAUAUAUAACAAUCUUCCACACUGAGCAAUGAGUUACAGUAACAUUAAUGAAUGGGAGGACAGAAUAAUUGUUAUUACUGGUCUUAGAUACCACUGUGGUGCAUGCGUAUGUAUACACAUACAUAAAAAAUUAUGAGAUAUAUAUAUGCAUACAUAAAUGCAUACAUACAUAUACCCAUGCACACAGACACAUGCCUUCUGGGAAGUGGGGCUCACCAGAAGGUCUGAACACUGUUCUUUACACCCUUCUCUGAUACACAUUACCAAACUGUGUAAGAGUGUGUGUGUAUAUGUUUAACUGUGUCUUGAGGAAAAUGUGAAAAGGAAAGGAAGCAUGUAUGUGAAUGUGGGAGAAAACACUCUCAUUAUUUGAGACCUGUGCUUGAAAACACAUUUCCAAAUGUACAUUGGCUAAGUUGACCGACAGCCAAGCAAGAAGAAAUACAGAAUAUUAAAAGGAUAUUGUGAGAAUGAAAAUAUUUAUGUAUGUAUUUUCUAUUCUUUCCUAUGUUAGUAUUAAUACCUCACAUUCCUGACAACUGGCAGGAUAAGAAAUUAAAAGAACUAAUUUGAUUUUUGCCACUUAAUCCUGUUUAUCUGUUUCAUGUUUCUGCCCAAGUUGAGAGAAAAAUUGAAUAGUCCAUCUCC
ensembl:lncRNA